rnacentral:rRNA from 1 species
GACGAACGCUGGCGGCGUGCUUAACACAUGCAAGUCGAACGUGUGGCGAACGGGUGAGUAACACGUGGGUGAUCUGCCUUUCACUCUGUGAUAAGCUUGGGAAACUGGGUCUAAUACCGGAUAGUUCAAGAUGAGCUCCCGGUGUAUCAGCGUGUUGGUGGGGUUAUGGCUACCAAGGCGCGACGGGUAGCCGGCCUGGGACGGUGUACGGCCACAUUGGGACUGAGAUACGGCCCAGACCCCGACGGGGGGGAGCAGUGGGGAAUAUUGCAGAAUGGGCGGAAGCCUGAUGCAGCGACGCCGCGUGAGCGAAGAAGGUUUUCGGAUCGUAAAGCUCUGUUGUUAGAAAAGCGGUAACUAACCAGAAAGGGACGGCUAACUACGUGCCAGCAGCCGCGGUAAUUC